UACGAAGGGGGCUAGCGUUGUUCGGAAUCACUGGGCGUAAAGCGCACGCAGGCGGAUUGAUAAGUCAGGGGUGAAAUCCCGGAGCUCAACUUCGGAAUUGCCUUUGAUACUGUCUGUCUUGAGUCCGGGAGAGGUGAGUGGAAUUCCUAGUGUAGAGGUGAAAUUCGUAGAUAUUAGGAAGAACACCAGUAGCGAAGGCGGCUCACUGGCCCGGUACUGACGCUCAUGUGCGAAAGCGUGGGGAGCAAACAGG
rnacentral:rRNA from 1 species